rnacentral:tRNA from 1 species
GCGGCCGUGGCGGAAUGGCAGACGCGCUAGGUUGAGGGCCUAGUGGGGGAGUACCCCGUGCUGGUUCAAAUCCAGUCGGCCGCACCA